UACGUAGGUGGCAAGCGUUGUCCGGAUUUACUGGGCGUAAAGAGCGCGCAGGCGGUCGUUCAAGUCGCGUGUGAAAGCCCCCGGCUCAACUGGGGAGGGUCACGCGAUACUGAUCGACUCGAAGGCAGGAGAGGGUAGUGGAAUUCCCGGUGUAGUGGUGAAAUGCGUAGAUAUCUGGAGGAACACCGGUGGCGAAGGCGACGCCUGGACCGGCAUUGACGCUGAGGCGCGAAAGCCAGGGAGCAAAGCGGG
rnacentral:rRNA from 1 species